rnacentral:rRNA from 1 species
UACGGAGGGGGCUAGCGUUGUUCGGAAUUACUGGGCGUAAAGCGCGCGUAGGCGGCUUUGUAAGUUAGAGGUGAAAGCCCGGGGCUCAACCUCGGAAUGGCCUUCAAGACUGCUGGUCUUGAGUUCGAGAGAGGUGAGUGGAAUUCCGAGUGUAGAGGUGAAAUUCGUAGAUAUUCGGAGGAACACCAGUGGCGAAGGCGGCUCACUGGCUCGACACUGACGCUGAGGUGCGAAAGCGUGGGGAGCAAACAGG